rnacentral:rRNA from 1 species
UGGCGAACGGGGUGAGUAAUACAUCGGAACGUGUCCGCUCGUGGGGGACAACCAGCCGAAAGGUUGGCUAAUACCGCAUGAGUUCUACGGAAGAAAGAGGGGGACCCGCAAGGGCCUCUCGCGAGCGGAGCGGCCGAUGAUUGAUUAGCCGGUUGGUGAGGUAACGGCUCACCAAAGCAACGAUCAGUAGCUGGUCUGAGAGGACGACCAGCCACACUGGGACUGAGACACGGCCCAGACUCCUACGGGAGGCAGCAG